AUUAAGGCAUUUCACCUUGAUCGCCUUUCAUUUAGGCAUUUCAUCUUGAUUGCCUUUCAUUUAGGCAUUUCAUUUUGAUCACCUUUCAUUUAGGCAUUUUGUUUAGGCAUUUCACCUUGAUCGCCUUUCAUUUACGCAUUUUGUUUAGACAUUUCACCUUGAUCGCCUUUCAUUUAGGCAUUAGGGGUUGUAAGUUAUAAUCCUUACUGUCAUAAAAGUGGCUUCUUCCUUUGGCAUUUGGUCACUUCUGAUUCACCUUUAUGCACAUGUGGUUAUUGUAUUGGAGCUGCAUCUUGUAUCCAGAUCUGUUGUUUUGCCUUGAUCUAUUCCAGAUUUUGUUAUGAAGAUGAUUGCACCAAGGAGGAUCCACUGUCACAGGAAGGUUUCCGUAAGCUAGCCCUGCCAUUACCUUAUUCUAAGCAGCAUCACUCAAAGCUUGUUUGCCACAUAACUAAGGAACUGAUGGACACGGAAAAUCCACCACAAGUUCUGCCAAACGGCCGUGUCUACAGCACUAAGGCCCUGGAAGAAAUGGCCAAGAAGAAUGAUGGGGAAAUUACUUGUCCGAGGACAGGUGAGGUAUACAACUACACAGAUCUGGUGAAGGCAUAUAUAUCAUGAGUCUACAUAUUUAUUCAAGUUCUGUGAUUCUGGCUAUGUAUCAGCCUGUGCUCUAUGUACAUAAAUCCUUUCCUUUUGAUUAAAGUGCCACAAAUUCUGGUAUAAGAAAUUAUUUCCCUGUGCUGUUAUUCUCAUGAUGCCUCAACUUGGUGUUACUCUUGGGAACUUGAAACAUGUAUAUAAGCAAGUUACUCUUUACAAUUUUAUUUCCAAUUAAUUUCAUAAUUUGUACCAAAAUAUAUUCUACAUAUAUUAAAUUUAUUUGAUAGAACUCCAA